rnacentral:rRNA from 1 species
AGAAUCAACGCUGGCGGCGUGCCUAACACAUGCAAGUCGAACGAGAAAGUGGAGCAAUCCAUGAGUAAAGUGGCGACCGGGUGAGUAACACGUGACUAACCUACCUUCGAGUGGGGGAUAACCUCGGGAAACCGAGGCUAAUACCGCAUAACAUCGCAAGAUCAAAGCAGCAAUGCGCUGGAAGAGGGGGUCGCGGCUGAUUAGCUAGUUGGCGGGGUAACGCCCACAAGGCGAAGAUCGGUAGCCGGCCUGAGAGGGCGCACGGCCACACUGGAACUGAAACACGGUCCAGACUCCUACGGGAGGCAGCAGUGGGGAAUUUUGCGCAAUGGGGGAAACCCUGACGCAGCAACGCCGCGUGGAGGAUGAAGCCCCUUGGGGCGUAAACUCCUUUCGACCAAGACGAUAAUGACGGUACUGGUGGAAGAAGCACCGGCUAACUCUGUGCCAGCAGCCGC